GGUGGGCGACUUAUAUUCUGUAGCAAGGUUAACCGUAUAGGGGAGCCGGAGGGAAACCGAGUCUUAAUUGGGCGUUAAGUUGCAGGGUAUAGACCCGAAACCCGGUGAUCUAGCCAUGGGCAGGUUGAAGGUUGGGUAACACUAACUGGAGGACCGAACCGACUAAUGUUGAAAAAUUAGCGGAUGACCUGUGGCUGGGGGUGAAAGGCCAAUCAAACCGGGAGAUAGCUGGUUCUCCCCGAAAGCUAUUUAGGUAGCGCCUCGUGAAUUCAUCUCCGGGGGUAGAGCACUGUUUCGGCUAGGGGGCCAUCCCGGCUUACCAACCCGAUGCAAACUGCGAAUACCGGAGAAUGUUAUCACGGGAGACACACGGCGGGUGCUAACGUCCGUCGUGAAGAGGGAAACAACCCAGACCGCCAGCUAAGGUCCCAAAGUCAUGGUUAAGUGGGAAACGAUGUGGGAAGGCCCAGACAGCCAGGAUGUUGGCUUAGAAGCAGCCAUCAUUUAAAGAAAGCGUAAUAGCUCACUGGUCGAGUCGGCCUGCGCGGAAGAUGUAACGGGGCUAAACCAUGCACCGAAGCUGCGGCAGCGAUGCUGGAGGUAUCAGAAGUGCGAAUGCUGACAUAAGUAACGAUAAAGCGGGUGAAAAGCCCGCUCGCCGGAAGACCAAGGGUUCCUGUCCAACGUUAAUCGGGGCAGGGUGAGUCGACCCCUAAGGCGAGGCCGAAAGGCGUAGUCGAUGGGAAACGGGUUAAUAUUCCCGUACUUGGUGUUACUGCGAAGGGGGGACGGAGAAGGCUAUGUUGGCCGGGCGACGGUUGUCCCGGUUUAAGCGUGUAGGUGUGUGUUCCAGGUAAAUCCGGUUCACUUUAACACUGAGGCGUGACGACGAGGCACUACGGUGCUGAAGCAACAAAUGCCCUGCUUCCAGGAAAAGCCUCUAAGCAUCAGGUAACAUCAAAUCGUACCCCAAACCGACACAGGUGGUCAGGUAGAGAAUACCAAGGCGCUUGAGAGAACUCGGGUGAAGGAACUAGGCAAAAUGGUGCCGUAACUUCGGGAGAAGGCACGCUGACACGUAGGUGAAGUGAUUUACUCAUGGAGCUGAAGUCAGUCGAAGAUACCAGCUGGCUGCAACUGUUUAUUAAAAACACAGCACUGUGCAAACACGAAAGUGGACGUAUACGGUGUGACGCCUGCCCGGUGCCGGAAGGUUAAUUGAUGGGGUCAGCGCAAGCGAAGCUCCUGAUCGAAGCCCCGGUAAACGGCGGCCGUAACUAUAACGGUCCUAAGGUAGCGAAAUUCCUUGUCGGGUAAGUUCCGACCUGCACGAAUGGCGUAAUGAUGGCCAGGCUGUCUCCACCCGAGACUCAGUGAAAUUGAACUCGCUGUGAAGAUGCAGUGUACCCGCGGCAAGACGGAAAGACCCCGUGAACCUUUACUAUAGCUUGACACUGAACAUUGAGCCUUGAUGUGUAGGAUAGGUGGGAGGCUUUGAAGUGUGGACGCCAGUCUGCAUGGAGCCGACCUUGAAAUACCACCCUUUAAUGUUUGAUGUUCUAACGUGGACCCGUAAUCCGGGUUGCGGACAGUGUCUGGUGGGUAGUUUGACUGGGGCGGUCUCCUCCUAAAGAGUAACGGAGGAGCACGAAGGUUGGCUAAUCCUGGUCGGACAUCAGGAGGUUAGUGCAAUGGCAUAAGCCAGCUUGACUGCGAGCGUGACGGCGCGAGCAGGUGCGAAAGCAGGUCAUAGUGAUCCGGUGGUUCUGAAUGGAAGGGCCAUCGCUCAACGGAUAAAAGGUACUCCGGGGAUAACAGGCUGAUACCGCCCAAGAGUUCAUAUCGACGGCGGUGUUUGGCACCUCGAUGUCGGCUCAUCACAUCCUGGGGCUGAAGUAGGUCCCAAGGGUAUGGCUGUUCGCCAUUUAAAGUGGUACGCGAGCUGGGUUUAGAACGUCGUGAGACAGUUCGGUCCCUAUCUGCCGUGGGCGCUGGAGAACUGAGGGGGGCUGCUCCUAGUACGAGAGGACCGGAGUGGACGCAUCACUGGUGUUCGGGUUGUCAUGCCAAUGGCACUGCCCGGUAGCUAAAUGCGGAAGAGAUAAGUGCUGAAAGCAUCUAAGCACGAAACUUGCCCCGAGAUGAGUUCU
rnacentral:rRNA from 1 species